CGCCCCCCCUUGGGUUGUGCCGUGGCGGAGAUCUUUGUGGGCUGUACUCGGCCUUGUCUCAGGAUGGACCUGAGCCCUCGGACCAUGCCUCAGGACUACCUGACAUGAUGACUCCUUGCUGUCCCCAGUCCACCUGGCCGUGCUGCUGCUCCAGUUUCAACUGUUCUGCCUGUGAUUAUUAUUAUUUGACCAUGCUGGUCAUUUAUGAACAUUUGAACAUCUUGGCCAUGUUCUGUUAUAAUCUCCACUCGGC
ensembl:lncRNA